rnacentral:misc_RNA from 1 species
GAUGAAGAACGUAGCGAAAUGCGAUAAGUAGUGUGAAUUGCAGAAUUCAGUGAAUCAUCGAAUCUUUGAACGCACAUUGCGCCCCUUGGUAUCCCGAGGGGCAUGCCUGUUCGAGCGUCAUUUCACCACUCAAGCCUGGCUUGGUGUUGGGCGACGUCCUCUUUGGGGACGCGCCUCGAAACGCUCGGCGGCGUGGCACCGGCUUUAAGCGUAGCAGAAUCUUUCGCUUUGGAAGUCGGGGCCCCGUCUGCCGGAAGACCUGCUCGCAAGGUUGACCUCGGAUCAGGCAGGGAUACCCGCUGAACUUAAGCAUAUCAAUAAACGGAGGA